GCCUGGGUGGCUUGGUUGGUUAAGCGUCCGACUUCAGCUCAGGUCAUGAUCUCACGGUCCGUGAGUUCGAGCCCCGCUUCGGGCU
rnacentral:tRNA from 1 species